UACGUAGGUGGCAAGCGUUAUCCGGAUUUAUUGGGUGUAAAGGGCGUGUAGGCGGGAAUGCAAGUCAGAUGUGAAAACUCAGGGCUCAACCCUGAUCCUGCAUUUGAAACUGUAUUUCUUGAGUGCUGGAGAGGCAAUCGGAAUUCCGUGUGUAGCGGUGAAAUGCGUAGAUAUACGGAGGAACACCAGUGGCGAAGGCGGAUUGCUGGACAGUAACUGACGCUGAGGCGCGAAAGCGUGGGGAGCAAACAGG
rnacentral:rRNA from 1 species